AGGGAUGAAGACGUCAUCUCAUUGCCAUGGUAAUCUUCAUCCAAUCAGUGCCUAGUUUAACACGAUGGCGGUGGGUGUGGCUCGUACUCCGUUGUAAGUCGCGUAACAGCCCUGUGGAAUCUGGUUCGACCACCUCACUGAGCAUGAAACAAAAAGCAGGGGGAGAUUCCACUAACACCAAUAUUUGUCUACUUCUAGACUAGUUCCUACUGUGUAGCUAUGUCUGCUGUGUGUAUGGCAUCAAAAUGACCUCUGCGCAUUCAAGGAGGGUUCACUUUCCACUCCGGAAUGUCCCUAACCCCCCAAACACCUGAAAUUCUACCUGGAUCUGUUUGCUUUCAGGAGGUGAGCAGUCAAGUAUUUACUUACACAUGUUCCUGUACCAUUAUUCAGCGUUUGGCCAAUGAGCUUGGCUGUGGUCUGUAUUCUGCCUUAUAGGAUCUCAUUUGAAAAAAUUCAUGAAAGGCGUGUGCGUUUGUAUGUGUGACGAAUCCGGGUGUAGCUGCUCUCAUCUCAGUCUUCCCUUCCGUGAUUUCACCACUUUACAGAUCAGUCAUGGACCUAUGUGUUCGAACCAGAAACCUGCCACUGUAACCACUAUUCUUUUGCUUUGAAGGAAUAAUCUUAAAUAAUAAAAUGAUGAAAAUGUUCAUAUCCAGAUAAAGUGUUGAUCGUUACUGUUCGUAUUGUGCAUUACAACCAUUUAAAGACGGUUAGGCCUUUCCUGUAUUAUACCAGCUGCUGGUAUCACAGGUCAUUAUUUCUGUUGCAUAAUUCUGUGUUCCUAAUGACACAUCCCCUAGGUAACCACCGAUAUUAUUUACCAUCCCUAGCAACAUUCACCUUUUAAUCACAAUCUCAGUUGGAAGAGGCUUAACAGCCUGGUUUAAAAUCAUCUGUGCUUUAUUGCAGCUGCUUUGUGAAUUUGUAAAUUUUUUGUGUAACUAUUUGUGCUAAAUAAACACUGGCUGAACCUAUGUUGAUAGGGAGUGACUGUUGUGCAUCAA